AAAAAAGGGGGACAAUGUUUGAACACAUAACAGCAAGUGAAAUAGCAGGAUUUGGAGUGGGUGGUUUGCUACUUGCUGCCACCAUUUAUGCUCCCAAAAUUGAUUCCUUCAUCUCUACUUCUCAACGCAGUUCACUGGGGAUGUGCAAAAAAUGUGGAGAUUUAAAACUGAUAGCAUGUUCAAGCUGCAAAGGAUCUGGUACAAUUAAAGGAGGACCAUUAAAUUUCAUUGUUUUAGAGGAUAAAUCGAAAGUAGGAUCCUCUUCUUCUUGUAUGAAAUGUGGAGCUAGAGGACACUUUCAGUGCCCUGAGUGUUGUAAACUUAGUCAGGCUUGAUCUAUUUUACACUAUACAAGCUUAUUAUGUUCAAAAUGAUGAUGCUUUUGCUAUAGAAUUGCUUCUCUGGUAUGAAAUUUGAUCAUACACAAAACUUGUUCUAUUUCUG
rnacentral:misc_RNA from 1 species